CGGGGAGGCCCGCGCCCCGCGCGGAACCGGCCCCCUGGCGAGGGGCGGCCCCGCCAGAAUUAAUCAGACACAAGUUAGAGAGAGCUUCCAGAAUCUGAACAGAUGAAGAUCAAUUGAUAAACCAACCCAGCGAUUCGCCACAAUUUCAAGAUUGUGUUGUAUUUUUGUUCGUUUGUUUAUCUUCACCCCAUUACUUGGCUGUCUUCUCUGCAUGAGCUGCUGCUUUCUGCUGUUCUCCUGCCUCACGUUUCCUUUUCCACUUACUCUAUUUGAGCUGAACUUAUUCCUCCAUGUUGUUUUUUUUUCUCUCAGUUCUUCACUAUGUGUAUGGUUGGUCAGUC
rnacentral:lncRNA from 1 species